GCGGGUGUGGCCUAGUGGCCGGGCACGACCCCUCCAAGGUCGAUACGCGGGUUCGAUUCCCGCCACCCGCU
rnacentral:tRNA from 1 species